UUGAUAAGUUGUGCUCUUCUUGGUUUGAGUGCAAAAGGAAUAGAAUCCCCCUACAAAAGGCACUAACAGCCCGGUCCGCCCAAGUGGACCUGAGGCAACAGGGAAUUAAAGAUACCUGGCCUUGCAACUGCAGGCCAGAAAGAAGGAUGCUUGUUGGCCUGGCACAGACCCUUAAGCAUUGACCCUAUUUACUGUAUUUUAUAAAUUCUGCAUGCGCCUGGCAUCUGACAGUCUUAAGUAGUUUCAGAACCUAUGGAUACAGACUAUGGUGCUGUUUAUGGGAGUUUCUAGGAUACUUUAAUGAGACAGAGGUAAUUUUGCAGAGUCAUGAUGCAAGUAGAUUUGUACCCGUGAGUGCCAGUGUGGGACUGUGAACAAGCUGAAGUUUCUUUUUUUGAAAGCCAGAUGGAAGAGACAGUGACAGUCAGCACAGAAAAUCUGUGAGCAGCCUCAAUCGGAGGGAAAGCAUCAGCUCUUGGAGUGCCUAUUGAAAAUUCGUACAAUGGUGAAGGACCUAAAAGUGAAAAGAAAGGCAGUGAAGAGAGAAAGAUGAGACAAAUUCUUCUAGGAACUGUAAAAGUUAAAAAUGACAAGUUUUGAUUUCUCCUUCCCCCUUGACCUGAAUCCAGCUGCGUCUCUGAGAUUUCAGUGGUUCAAAGUGACCUAAGAAAGUGAAGAGAAGGAGAGAGCAAUCUAUGUAGAAAUUCUCUUCUCAGGAGACCUCAUCUGCUGUGUUGCUGAGUUUUUUGCAGUGUGGGAGGCAGAGCCCGCAUUUCCUUUGGGCUCCUGCUAAUUCUGCCUAGCUCCCAAGAAACAGAGGGUGCAAACAUUACUGAAUUAUUUGCACCCAAAUGACUUUCCAGCUGAGAUUUUUAACUACCAGCUACCUGCUGACUGCAAUCGUGCCUAGAAGAGCUGCUCCACCAGCACCUUCCUUCACUGUUUGAAACAUGUCCCCAGAAAAUUUGAACAACCUGGUGUGCUGCCUCUAUUCCAGAAGGUGUUGAGACCCAUCUUACAGACCCUGUGAUGCUACCAGCUGCAUUUCAAAAAGCCAGGUUGGAGGCUACUCUUGAUUCCUUGUAGAAACAAAGUCAACUGGAGCUACAAGCUCAGUUAUGGAUACAGAGAGACCAGACGAAGUGCAAAAAGAGUGAUGGAGGACAGGGCUACAAGCCAUGGUACUUCUUGGUAGUGUUGCCUUUCCUAGGACCAUCCUGUGGUUCCAGCAGGAGUGCUGGCUGUUUUCCCCAGGGUAUCGCUUAAGGAGCAUGUUUGAACCAAGAAUAUGGCUGCUACUUGGAGGACAUACAUGCAGAGAUGGGGAAGAAGGACAUGAGACAGUUGUGAGAAGCAUUCAAGUCACUGAGAUGGCAUUACAAGUGAGAGGAAUAUUGUUAUUAAGGGACUGAGAUAGGACAUGGCAGGAGGUUUGAGCAGAGAUGUGAGCAGGGCAUGAAGUUUGAAAUGUUUAUCUAUUCAUAUCUUGAGUUCAUUAUGGAAAACAAUGUUGCCUAAGGAGAUGAACACAGCAUCAUUCGAUGUCAAGGGGUUUGCUGCAUGGUAUUAAAUAAAUCAUCUCCCUGUUUUACUAUGAGCUUUCAGGUGGUGUUUUUUUUUUUUUUUUUUUUUUUUUUCCUUCUUCCCUGAGGUGACCCAAGGUAAUUUUAAGAGUCUACCUGUGAAUAGCUGAUUCUGUUGCAACAGACCAGGCUUUGUCUUCCUGUUUACUCCAUCUUCACUCUCUUUCAGCUCUUUAAGAUUUAAAUUAUUGCCUGCUUUGUGAAUCUCAUUAUAUGUCCUCUGUUUCUUGGAGACAUGCUUAUUGUGAAAAGUAAAACCGCAAGGAAAGUUUAGUUCAAGAGAUCUGCCACAAGCCCCCAGGAACCAUUCAGUAUUUCGCACAGAGGCUUCACCUCCAAGGGCAGUCAUCUCUCCUGGCUGCUCUACAAGCAGUCUGGACAAACAUGAAGAAGAAGGGCAUUGCUGUGCUACUGGUAAUGAAUAGGGUGCCAAAGAACCAGAGAACCUUGAAUCUCAAUAGGAUUGUCAGGUUUGCUCAUUUUCAGCUAGAAGAUUUGGGAGUUUUGCUUUAGAUUUGAGUCUUGAAUGGGUUUUGCAGUAGCUGCCUCCUGUAGCCUAGAUUUGACAAACCAGUGAACUAUAGUUUUGAGAAAGACCAGUGAGCUGUUCUGGAUGCACCUAAGGGAAAGAAAGAAAAUGCUGUAUUUUUAUGCCCAUAUUUCAGUUGACUUCUACCUCUUCAAAAUACUAGCACUUGAAAUAGAAUGUUACGUAAAACUUACCUGCAGAUAAGUUUCUGCUUUUGAAACAAAGCAUGGUAAAACAGAGGUCAAAAAAAUCAGAGAAAAGGGAAGGGGCUAUGGGGGAACUUCUGGGGGAAACUUCCCUAGAGUUUCCUUCACUCACAUAUAUAACCCAGAGUGAUGCUGAAUUACGGGGAAAAGAAUCUUUGUUUUUUGUUGCUAGUAAUAAUCACUGGAUAUGCAUAUGAAAAUACAGGUGAUCACUGCAAAUUUUAA